UGGCUUUCGAUUUGUAUCUUUUCGUCCACUUCAACCACGUCUUCCACACGUGGUACAGUAGUCGCCAUUAUUCUGCUUAAACAAAGUGAUUGAAAUGGUGCCGUUAUUACGAAACAUUCUGUACUCGGGAAAAUGGACUGUAACCACGAUGGAAAUUUUCUUAAACUAAAGAUGCCUCGAAAAUUCACCAAAUAUGGCAGCAAGAAACCUGUUUGUGGGAGCAGUAAAUGAGUCCGACAGCCCAAUUUGAAAUGCUACCAAUAAGUGGCUUGUAAAUUUAAUCUGCGUCUGGUGUUGUAUUCAAACCAAUAGUUUGAAAAGGUGACAUCUUAUCUAAUGAAGGACAUCACCUCUUGUGACUGAGGUUUUCUGAAUUUUUUGGUGUAUGCUGAUUUGGAUGAAACAGGUGAUGUCCUGUUUGGAAAGUCCAUCACAUUAUGGGGCUUUGAUUGCAUUAUGUGAUCCUCAGACUAUUCCAUUGCUUGGCCAGAAUACUAUUCGUGAAUGAACAGUCUUCUGUGAUCAGUGAAAUAUCAAAAUGAGUUCAAAAACAUCCUUCAUGGUUUUGACCAAAGAGAUCCGUACCGUCUGCAAAGAUCCAAGAAGUAGCAACAGUGGAAAUAUUCUGUCUGCUUCCUCAUUUUCUACGAGAUGGAAGGAUCAAGUCUAGUCUGGCAAUUUGUAAAUGUUUUGCAAUAUUUCUGAAUGUAAAUGUAAUUUUUCAACUUUCUUCUCAAGGAAUAUAAGUGUUAAGAAAUGUCACUGGAGAAUACCACCUAUUUGGUGAGUUAUAAAAGUGUGCUACAGAGAAAAUUUCCAGAGGAUUGGCUUUUACGUUAUGGUUAGGAAGAUCGUAAAACUAGUAGGGAAGAAACUGUUUUAUAGUUCGCUAAGAUUUGCACACCUAACAUAAUGCGGGCAUCGUCAACGAAGAAUCCUCGAGUGUGGAGACCUCCAUAGUAUUUCAGUGGAAAGUCUCAGCAUAGCAAAGCUGUAAGGGAUGUGAAAAUUCCUAAGUAUUUUGAAAAGAUGAGAUACUGUUCAUUAUCAUGUAACGCUGGUUGAUAGAAAGAAAUAUUUGGUGGUGAAAAAUGGUAUGAAGUUGAUGACGAACGUCUGUAAAAAUUUUCCUGGCAGUGAUUUCACAGCUUGAAGGUAAUCACUUGUUUCAUGUAUGCGUUGCUGUGCUUUUCCAUUUUAUUUUAUUAAUAUUUUCAAUUCGACCUAAAUUUUCUUCUAAUGAACAGUUCGA